UCUGAGUCUACCAUGAAGAACAGUAGAAGAUCCCCAAGCCUUGUCAAGCCUGUACAACACUUAUGGGCAGCUGACCAGAGGCCUUGACAGUGUCCACUGAUUUGGUGUAAGAAGGUGAUCUGGACCACGCUGACGUCCCCCUUCCUCCUCCCAGGCAUUCAAACUGAACUUGCUGGGAACACAAACACAGAGGGAUUUGAAGUGAAGGUACGUGUUGAGUUUGAGGAGUUCAUUAUCGAUCCUGGAUGUCAGGUACGAUGCCUCCUUGCAUGGGAAAGCCUGGGCAGUGAGCCUAGCCCCAGAGGGAGGCCACACAUCAGACACUGUUUGCCUGGGAUGGGGCUGGUUUACCCCCGUUGUCCCUGAAAAAUUAUUAAUAGGGCCCCCUUUCAUUCUCAAAAUAAAAUGUCCCUGCAUGGACAAUAAAUCAAAUGGCUACUGUAUUUUAAUGCCAAUUUUAAGCUACUUUUUUUUUUCUUUACCAGAAGAGUGGUGUUAUAGGUUGAACUGUGUUCUCCCAAAAGGUAUCAAAGUCCUAACACUCGAUACCUAUGAAAGUGAACAUUUGGAAAUUUGGGUGUUUGCAGAUGAUUAAG